rnacentral:rRNA from 1 species
CGCGUAGGCGGCAUUGCAAGUGUCGGGUGAAAGCCCACGGCUUACCCGUGGAACUGCCCGGCAAACUGCGGUGCUAGAGUAUGGUAGGGGAGAGCGGAACUCCUGGUGGAGCGGUGAAAUGCGUAGAUAUCAGGAGGAACACCGGUGGCGAAGGCGGCUCUCUGGUCCAUAACUGACGCUGAGGUGCGAAAGCUAGGGUAGCGAACAGGAUUAGAUACCCUGGUAGUCC